rnacentral:rRNA from 1 species
UACGUAGGGCGCAAGCGUUGUCCGGAAUCAUUGGGCGUAAAGCGCACGUAGGCGGUUCGUUAUGUCGGAUGUGAAAGCCCUUGGCUUAACCGAGGAAGUGCAUCCGAAACUGGCGAGCUAGAGUACGAAAGAGGAUCGCGGAAUUCCCGGUGUAGAGGUGAAAUUCGUAGAUAUCGGGAGGAACACCGGUGGCGAAGGCGGCGAUCUGGGUCGAUACUGACGCUGAGGUGCGAAAGCUAGGGGAGCAAACAGG